rnacentral:rRNA from 1 species
AAAGAUUCUAAGGCCAACGGGAGAAGGGUUGUUAAGGAACUCGGCAAAUUGACCCCGUAACUUCGGGAGAAGGGGUGCUGCAGAGAUGCAGCCGCAGAGAAUCGGCCCAAGCAACUGUCUACCAAAAACACAGGUUUGUGCUAAAUCGAAAGAUGACGUAUACGAGCUGACGCCUGCCCGGUGCUGGAAGGUUAAGAGGAGAUGUGCAAGCAUUGAAUCGAAGCCCCAGUGAACGGCGGCCGUAACAAUAACGGUCCUAAGGUAGCGAAAUUCCUUGUCAGGUAAGUUCUGACCCGCAUGAAAGGCGUAAUGAUUUGGGCACUGUCUCAACAGCCCGCCCGGCGAAAUUGUAGUACCGGUGAAGAUGCCGGUUACCCGCGACAAGACGGAAAGACCCCAUGGAGCUUUACUGUAGCCUAAUAUUGGGUUUCGAUGUUGCAUGCACAGGAUAGAUGGGACUCUUGGAAACGAUCGCUUUGGCGGUCGCGGAGAGGCCGUUGGGAUACCAUCCUUGCGAUAUUGGAAUUCUAACCUGCGCCUUUGAAUCAAGGCGGGGGACAUUGUUAGGUGGGCAGUUUGACUGGGGCGGUCGCCUCCUAAAGAGUAACGGAGGCGUUCAAAGGUUCGCUCAGCUUGAACGGAAAUCAAGCAAAAGAGUGCAGACGCAGAAGCGAGCCUAACUGCGAGACUGACGGGUCGAGCAGUAACGAAAGUUGGAGUUAGUGAUCCGGUGGUAUGUGAGUGGAAAUGCCAUCGCUCAACGGAUAAAAGUUACCCUGGGGAUAACAGGCUGAUCUCCCCCAAGAGUCCACAUCGACGGGGAGGUUUGGCACCUCGAUGUCGGCUCAUCGCAUCCUGGGGCUGUAUUCGGUCCCAAGGGUUUGGCUGUUCGCCAAUUAAAGCGGUACGCGAGCUGGGUUCAGAACGUCGUGAGACAGUUCGGUCCCUAUCUGUCGUGGGCGCAGGAUAUUUGAUGGGAGCUGUUCCUAGUACGAGAGGACCGGAGCGGACGUACCUCUGGCGCACCAGUUGUUCUGCCAAGGGCAUAGCUGGGCAACUAUGUACGGAUCGGAUAAACGCUGAAAGCAUCUAAGCGUGAAGCCGACCCAAAGAUAAGAUAUCCCAUUGUUUCAAACAAGUAAGACCCCUUGAAGACUACAAGGUUGAUAGGCACGAUGUGUAAGUGGAGUGAUCCAUUCAGCAAGCGUGUACUAAUAGGUCGAGGGCUUGACC